rnacentral:snoRNA from 1 species
UGCCAAUGAUGAUAAAAUAUCACCAUCUUUCGACUGAUAAUAAUGAUGUAUUCUACACUUUAUCUGAGGCAUGCU